rnacentral:lncRNA from 1 species
GGAAUAUGCUAGGAAUAUGCCAUAUGGAAUGUCUAUAAAUACCGUGAGAUGGCACAUAUGAACUUUCACACUUCACAACACCAAACAACUCUCCUCUCUCCCUCUAGAAAGCUCACGGCCAAACAUCCCUAAUCACCCAUCAAUUUUUCGAGCCUUGUUCAAGCCAUUCCAAGCAUACCCAAGCAUCAAGGAUCACGUAUUAGGAGGCUUGGUGCACUCGGAGCACGAAGGACCUUUUUCUCUAGCUUUUAUCCACCACAUUCGCGUCUAGAUUCUUCCCUAGCCUCGAGCUAGUGCUCACAUGAUGUGUUACGACGUUAAAUAAGCAAACCCGGUGAAGUUUACGACGCACAGGAACGCAAAGUUGUGAGUUCAUGCUCCCCCUUUUCUCUUAACUGUUUUCAGUUUUAUAACUUCGGGGGUGAAAUACAUGU